AGAGUUUGAUCCUGGCUCAGAACGAACGCUGGCGGCGUGGAUAAGACAUGCAAGUCGAACGGGGUUUUGAUUAUAGCAAUAUAGUUAAGACUCAGUGGCGUAAGGGUGCGUAACACGUGAACAAUCUGCCGGGAAGUGGAGGAUAGCUCGCCGAAAGGCGAAUUAAUACUGCAUAUGGCCAAUACGGGAGUCCGUUGAAGCCAAAGCCGGGGCAACCUGGCGCUUCCUGAUGAGUUCGCGGCCUAUCAGCUAGUUGGCGGGGUAAAAGCCCACCAAGGCUAUGACGGGUAGCUGGUCUGAGAGGACGACCAGCCACACUGGAACUGAUACACGGUCCAGACACCUACGGGUGGCAGCAGUCGAGAAUUUUUCUCAAUGGGCGCAAGCCUGAAGGAGCGACGCCGCGUGGAGGAUGAAGGUCUUCGGAUUGUAAACCCCUGUCAUUGGUGAACAAAGCUUACGGUUUACUGCCGUGGAGCGUGCUAGUAGCCAAAGAGGAAGGGACGGCUAACUCUGUGCCAGCAGCCGCGGUAAUACAGAGGUCCCAAGCGUUGUUCGGAAUUAUUGGGCGUAAAGGGUGCGUAGGCGGUAGGAUAAGUUAGAUGUGAAAUGUCGGUGCUUAACAUCGAACCUGCAUUUAAGACUGUCCUGCUUGAGCGCUAGAGAGGAGUCUGGAAUUUACGGUGUAGCAGUGAAACGCGUAGAUAUCGUAAGGAAGGCCAGUGGCGAAAGCGAGACUCUGGCUAGAUGCUGACGCUGAGGCACGAAAGCUGGGGGAGCAAACGGGAUUAGAUACCCCGGUAGUCCCAGCAGUAAACGGUGCGCGUUUGGUGUAGGUUGGUUCGACCCUGCCUGCGCCGGAGCUAACGCGUUAAACGCGCCGCCUGGGGAGUACGAUCGCAAGAUUAAAACUCAAAGAAAUUGACGGGGGCCCGCACAAGCGGUGGAGUAUGUGGCUUAAUUCGAUGCAACGCGAAGAACCUUACCUGGAUUUGACAUGCAUCUCUAAGUCGGUGAAAGCCGGCGAGGGUAGCAAUACCCAAUUUGCACAGGUGCUGCAUGGCUGUCGUCAGCUCGUGUCGUGAGAUGUUGGGUUAAGUCCCGCAACGAGCGCAACCCCUGUAUGCUGUUGCCGACCUAAAAAGCGGCUCUCUGCAUAGACUGCCCCGUGAAACGGGGAGGAAGGUGGGGAUGACGUCAAGUCAGCAUGGCCCUUACAUCCAGGGCUGCACACGUACUACAAUGCCCAGUACAAUUUGAACCGGUGCCGCGAGGUUUCGGAAAUCAUUAAAACUGGGCCCAGUUCGGAUUGCAGGCUGCAACUCGCCUGCAUGAAGCUGGAAUCGCUAGUAAUGCCGUAUCAGCUACGACGGCGUGAAUACGUUCCCGGGCCUUGUACACACCGCCCGUCACAUCAUGGAAGUCGCUUGUUCCCGAAGGUCCACCUUUGGUGGGACGAAGGAAUGAGUGGCGACUGGGAUGAAGUCGUAACAAGGUAACC
rnacentral:rRNA from 1 species